rnacentral:tRNA from 1 species
GCGGGGGUCGCCAAGCCAGGUUAAAGGCGCAGGCUUCAGGAGCCUGUCCCGUAGGGGUUCGUGGGUUCGAAUCCCACCCCCCGCACCA